GGGCUCGCGGCCCGCGCCUCUGUCCGACGUCGCUCUACCCGCAGUCGCAGCCAACGCAGGAAGCCCAGGGCCCGCGCCACGCGCUGCAGCCGCGCCUUGAGACCCACGCGGAUGCCACCAGCGAACUGGGGAGACGCGCCGGCUGGGGGCCUCGGACGCAGCCUGCGCAGCACUACGAGCGCAGCCAGUGGCGUCCGGUCCCGGGGCCCUGGGUCCCCUGCACGCGAUCGCUCUCUGGCUCCCGCGUCGCUCUCUCCCGCAACCACAAGCGCCUUUCUCGUCACCUCUCCGACCUGGAGGAGCUGAGCCCCGGGAGCCCCCGCUGUCUCAGGCUCGGUGCCCAGCAGCUCAGCCUUUGGCUGUGCCCCGACAUCACUGGUGUCUACAAUCGCGCUAGAGUCCUGGGGACUCUGAGAGCCUCUGGGGACGCUGGAGGCUGCAGCUUCCCUCCCCAGCUCUAUCUCCUGGGACUCAGGGAUGCCACUUGAGGUUCCUGGGAUCUUCUGUGGGAGAUGUCUGUGCCCAGCCCACCCGGGGCUCGAGUCUGUAUCUGUCCGGGAAUCGUCACUCGCUCUUUGAGGCCCCGUCCCCGACGACCCUUCCUUGCUCUGGAGCUCCAAGGCGUGUCCUUCGCUGCCUGGAUGGUUGCUGCCAGGGCAUUUGCCCUGUACCUGAGUUGAGCUGGGUCCUCUGAUUGGAGCGCCUUCUGACCUGGGAUCCGAAGGUUCCAUUUUGGGUGGCCGCUCCGGGGCUCCACCGCCCUGGCUGCUGCUGUCCUGGGCCUCGCGGGCUUCACUGUCCAGACACGAGCUGCCACCAUCCCCGCCCGACGUGUCCCCAUCCCUGCCAGGAGUCUCUCCGUGACCUCGCCGAGUCAAAGGUCCCCGAUCCUUUCCUCUCCUGCGGCGGCCGCGUUUGCCUGUCCUCACUUCUUCCCUGGGGAUUCCCUGUUCCUCCGUGUGCUCCCCACAACUGUCCCCGGAGUCACGGCUCUCCGUGGGUCCGUGUCUCAGACGCUGCGAGCUGCUCUGCCUCUCCUGGGUCUCCUGUGAUGUUCUGCAGCGGUGGUUCCCCUCUCCGGUGUGCUUCCUCUGGCCUCCAGCGGUCCCCUUGCCUCCAGUGGCCUCGUGCUCCGUAGCGGGCUUGUUCUUGCGGGCUUUGCUGCGGGCAGGCCUGCGGUCCGGGCUUGGGGCGCAGUCGGCGCUGGCGGACCCAGACUCCAGCUCGGCUGAGGCUGGUCUUCCAGGUCGAGGCCGGCGGUGGGGCGCUUUGCCCUUACUUCUGCCCAUGACUGACUUCCCGAUGUCCUGAUCCUUUUGCCUUCUGAUCUGAUCUGACUGCCCAUGGGUGCCCUGAGGCCUCGGUUGCUAUAGAUGCUUUCUGCUCCUGCAGGGUUAUGGGCUCAAUCUGUCCCCCUCCUGGAGUCUCCCCUCCUGGGCAGCAUCAUCAAUAAUGCAGGAGGCAGCGGGUCCUGACCCGGUUGGUCAACAAUGGAGUGGAAGCGGAGGAAAGAGGAGACGCUGCCGCUGUGGACAAAGGCCAUGGACAGGGCGACGACGCCAUGACUCCUUGCCAGGCAGGUCAGCCUGGCACUAGGCCAGACUGAGGAGCCAGGCUCUACUUCAGCCUCACUACCGGCCUGCCAAGAGGGGCGGAAUGAAGUUGUUUUACAUGGGGGCUUCUCCAGGAGACAAGGGAUUGUGGCUAUGGGACUGGGCAGGGGACACUUGGGCGUUCUCUUCUUUUCCGUUGUGAAAUAUAACUUACUAAAAAGUGGAUAUGAUACGAG
rnacentral:lncRNA from 1 species